CACUUAUUUGGUUUGAUUUUUUUGGUGGCUAUUGUGAAUGGAAUUUCUUGAUUUCUCUUUCUGUGAUUUCACCAUUAGCAUACAAAAAACUGCUGUUUUGUAUGUUUAUUUUGUAACCUGCAACUUCACUGAGUUGGUUUAUCAAUUCUAACGGCUUUUUGGUGAACUGAAUAAUUGUUAUCUAUGUUUAUGAGGUAGAAUGUGAUUUUUAAUAUAUGUUUAUAAUGGUGAAUGGUUAUGUCAGGUUAAUUAACAUAACCAUUGCUUCAUCUUUCCUAGAUAAAGAGGAGAUAUUGAUGAAAGAAUGCAAUGCUUCAGUUACACAAGAUAAAUACUAAUUUAAACUAUCAACUUUUUGGGAAAUUAGUUAUAGAGCAAUAUUAAACUAAUGUCAUUCUUAGUACAUUAAUAGCAAUGUUUCUCUUACACCAACAUGCAUUACAUUCUGUUAAUCACAACCUUGAAGUUUUCAUAACUUUCCCUCAAAAUUGUGUUAUGUUUUUGUAUUCAUUCUCAUGUGCAGGAAUUAACCAGUGAACUUCAUAGACCAAACUUGAUCCAUGUGUGCUACAGAACUGACUGAGGCACAUUCCACUGUGUUGUAUUUCUUUAUAGUUUUCAAUCACAUUCUGAGAGGCAUGAAUGAAUGGAUUACCUAAUUUGCAUAAUGGAACCGUGGAGGAGAGAAGACCCAAAACGCAGACUGAUUUUCCAACAACAGAGGAUAACUGAUUUGACUGACAGCAUUUAUCAAACAAAGAUAAAAUUCUUACAAUUUAUGUAUAUUUUAAAAACCUCAAAGUUCUUUGCAUUUUUUUGAUGAUUGUGAAGCCAGUAUCUGGAAUAACUCACACCAGCUUUACUUGACUUCCCAGUGAAGUGAAAAUCAAGUCUCCUUUUGUUUGAUUUGUUUCAUUUACUCUUUUCUAACUUUUUCUGAAGAAAAUUAACAGGGAAUAACAUGUUGCUUCCCCAGAAUUCCAUGUCUUGAUGUUUCUUUAUUUUCCUUUUCACCAAAUGAGAACAAUGUUCAUAAACAAGUACGAUAACUAGCUGCCAGGUGCUCCCAGCGAAUUCUCAUUAUCCUCCUUUGAUGUACAGCAAAGUUUCUGAGUUAGAAAUGACUCUUCACAUCCAGAUUCUCCCCAGUUUUUCAUGCUCCCUUGUAAAUACAACAUGAUUCUUCAAGGUUAUUUUUACCUUAAAUAACAUAAACCUUGACAAGGGCCAAUGUUAUGAUGACAGAAUAGAUUAAGCAGCUUCUUGCAUCACUGGCACCCCAUGUCAGA
rnacentral:lncRNA from 1 species